AGUCGAACGGCAGCACGGGAGCAAUCCUGGUGGCGAGUGGCGAACGGGUGAGUAAUAUAUCGGAACGUGCCCGGUCGUGGGGGAUAACGCAGCGAAAGCUGUGCUAAUACCGCAUACGAUCUACGGAUGAAAGCGGGGGAUCGCAAGACCUCGCGCGAUUGGAGCGGCCGAUAUCAGAUUAGGUUGUUGGUGGGGUAAAAGCCCACCAAGCCGACGAUCUGUAGCUGGUCUGAGAGGACGACCAGCCACACUGGAACUGAGACACGGUCCAGACUCCUACGGGAGGCAGCAGUGGGGAAUUUUGGACAAUGGGCGCAAGCCUGAUCCAGCAAUGCCGCGUGCAGGAUGAAGGCCUUCGGGUUGUAAACUGCUUUUGUACGGAACGAAACGGCCUACUCUAAUACAGUGGGCUAAUGACGGUACCGUAAGAAUAAGCACCGGCUAACUACGUGCCAGCAGCCGCGGUAAUACGUAGGGUGCGAGCGUUAAUCGGAAUUACUGGGCGUAAAGCGUGCGCAGGCGGUUAUAUAAGACAGAUGUGAAAUCCCCGGGCUCAACCUGGGACCUGCAUUUGUGACUGUAUAGCUAGAGUGCGGCAGAGGGGGAUGGAAUUCCGCGUGUAGCAGUGAAAUGCGUAGAUAUGCGGAGGAACACCGAUGGCGAAAGCAAUCCCCUGGGCCUGCACUGACGCUCAUGCACGAAAGCGUGGGGAGCAAACAGGAUUAGAUACCCUGGUAGUCCACGCCCUAAACGAUGUCAACUGGUUGUUGGGUCUUCACUGACUCAGUAACGAAGCUACGCGUGAAGUUGACCGCCUGGG
rnacentral:rRNA from 1 species